AUUGAACGCUGGCGGCAUGCCUUACACAUGCAAGUCGAGCGGCAGCACGGGGGCAACCCUGGUGGCGAGCGGCGAACGGGUGAGUAAUACAUCGGAACAUGCCCAGGCGUGGGGGAUAACACUUCGAAAGAAGUGCUAAUACCGCAUACGUCCUGAGGGAGAAAGCGGGGGAUCUUCGGACCUCGCGCGAUUGGAGUGGCCGAUGUCAGAUUAGCUAGUUGGUGGGGUAAAGGCCUACCAAGGCAACGAUCUGUAGCUGGUCUGAGAGGAUGAUCAGCCACACUGGGACUGGGACACGGCCCAGACUCCUACGGGAGGCAGCAGUGGGGAAUUUUGGACAAUGGGGGCAACCCUGAUCCAGCCAUUCCGCGUGAGUGAAGAAGGCCUUCGGGUUGUAAAGCUCUUUCGGAGGAACGAAACGGCGAGCUCUAACAUAGCUUGCUAAUGACGGUACCUGAAGAAGAAGCACCGGCUAACUACGUGCCAGCAGCCGCCGUAAGAC
rnacentral:rRNA from 1 species